GUGUUACAUAAAAUUGAGAAUGGAAAUGGGGAAUGUGCCAAAGAGACAACAACCCGACCAUAGAAAAAAACAACAGCAGAAGGUCACCAACAGGUCUUCAAUGUAGCGAGAAAUUCCCGCACCAGGAGGCGUCCUUCAGCUGGCCCCUAAACAAAUAUAUACUAGUUCAGUGAUAAUGAACGCCAUACUAAUUUCCAAAUUGUACACAAGAAACUAAAAUUAAAAUAAUACAAGACUAACAAAGGCCAGAUGCUCCUGACUUGGGACAGGCGCAAAAAUGCGGCGGGGUUAAACAUGUUUGUGAGAUCUCAACCCUCCCCCUAUACCUCUAGCCA
rnacentral:lncRNA from 1 species